GAUGAACGCUGGCGGCGUGCUUAACACAUGCAAGUCGAACGAAGCACUUUAUUUGAUUUCCUUCGGGACUGAUUAUUUUGUGACUGAGUGGCGGACGGGUGAGUAACGCGUGGGUAACCUGCCUUGUACGGGGGGAUAACAGUUGGAAACGGCUGCUAAUACCGCAUAAGCGCACAGCAUCGCAUGAUGCAGUGUGAAAAACUCCGGUGGUAUAAGAUGGACCCGCGUUGGAUUAGCUAGUUGGUGAGGUAACGGCCCACCAAGGCGACGAUCCAUAGCCGACCUGAGAGGGUGACCGGCCACAGUGGGACUGAGACACGGCCCAAACUCCUACGGGAGGCAGCAGUGGGGAAUAUUGCACAAUGGGCGAAAGCCUGAUGCAGCGACGCCGCGUGAGCGAAGAAGUAUUUCGGUAUGUAAAGCUCUAUCAGCAGGGAAGAUAAUGACGGUACCUGACUAAGAAGCACCGGCUAAAUACGUG
rnacentral:rRNA from 1 species